UGGGGAAUAUUGCACAAUGGGGGAAACCCUGAUGCAGACGACGCCGCGUGAGCGAAGAAGUAUUUACGGUAUUGUAAAGCUCUAUCAGCAGGGAAGAUAAUGACGGUACCUGACUAAGAAGCCCCGGCUAACUACGUGCC
rnacentral:rRNA from 1 species